AAAAAAAAAAACAUUACAUGAAGUAACUAAAAAAAAAAGAAUAUAUAAAGUGAUCAAAGAAACAAUGCAUGAGUAAUCCAAAAAAAAAUUAAGAAUUCCAUGAAGUAAUCCAAAAAAAAAAAAAUGGCUGAAAAUUUCAAAUUUGUUUUUCGAGUGAUCAUUUUUGUUUUCCUCUUUCUUGUUGUAGUCAAAGGUAUAGCCACUACAAAUAAUUUAUCAGCUUUCAAACCAGGAAAAGAAUGUGUUACUAACAAAGAUUGUCAUAAAAUUCUUCGGAAAAUUAAUGAUGUCAAACGGAAUUGCUUGAAUGGUUAUUGUCGAUACGAAAAUAAGAUGGGGUGGUGGGUCAAAUCACCCCCCUAAAUUCUAAAUUGUUUUUCUUUUCAAUAAGUGAUUUUCACAAGAGCGGUGCUAAAUAAGACAGAAAUAGAAAUUAACAAACACAAGAAUGAACAUGCGUUUUUACUUUUAUGAGCUUAAAUAUUAUAAUAUUAAUAUUAUAAUAUUAGCAUUUGGCGGAAAUCACCCCAUUGUUAGUGUGGAAAUCAACGGAUGACAUGUAUUCACAUGUUUCGUUUGUCUAGUCCUUCGUACUAUUAACCAUUUCCGUUUUCACAUAUAUUUAGCUUUUCUUUUUGUGAUUUCUCGUCUUAGUGAGACGUUUGUGUUGGUCGUCGUCUUGUUGCGGCGUUAUUGUGUUGUCCUGUUAUGGUACGAUGUUUGUUCGUUUUAGAUUGACAGAUUAGAUUCGGCUUAGUGCAUAUUCAAUCAAUGACUUUGGCGCCGUCAACGUUGCAUACUCGGAAACAUGAGUAUUUCUAGCACUUAAAUUUCGUCAUUUUUGUAGGUUUUGUCACACUUGUAGGCGUUUUACCGUCGAAGCUAUUAACAUGAAUGCUGCGAGUUUGUUCACAAAUUCAUUCUUUUCAGUUUUUAGCGAUUAUGAAUUGUAUUAUUCGAUAUAUUCUAUCAAUUUAAAUGAAUGAAUUAAUGUCGUUGUUUGUAAAAAUAAACCAAGAAAAAAAACUAAAACUACAAACAACGAGAAAAUUCCCGUAAAACACCGAUAUAGGACAAAAGAGCCCCCACAACUCAACCACCAAAAAUAAAAGACUACAUGUUUUAAACCGCGAGAGGAGAGUGAUUUAUUCAGGUUUACACUUUAGGUUGCUAAUAGUCAACAUACUAUGAAGAGAUAUAAUCCUCUUGGGGGAGUUGCACCUUGGCACCAUGUGAAUUUCAAAUAGUGCUUGAUGAGCAUUGACUAAUCACUACAACAUUUUUUUGCUUUAAAACAAUAGUUGAAAAGUGCAGCCAAAAACUGUGAAAAAUGUUGCCUAAAAGGUAUAGGUUUCAAGUCUGGCUAAUGUGGUGCAGCUUUCAUCUUCCUCUGCUAGGUUUUGGCAAUUUGCAGCUUUCCUUCCAUCUUCUAACAAACCGACCACCAACACCUCCACCAUUCGCCUUGCCUUCUACAUGCAGUCUCUUGAGAGCCAACCACUUUAACCUCCUUCACUAAUAGAAAUCUCGUGUUUAGAGACCGAUUUAGUGAUCGAAAAAUUUCGGGCACUUUAGAGACCAAAAUUUCAAACGUAAAAGUCAAAAAAUAUUUAGUCGCUAAAUCGGUCACUACAUAAUUAUAGAGACCGAAUUGGAGACCGACAAUUAGUGGCCAAUAUUUCGGUCACUUUAGAGACCGAAUUAGAGAUCAAAAUAUUGAGCUUCAAAGUAAAAAAAUACUCGGUCGCUAAAUCAGUCGCUAAGUAAUUAUAGAGACCAAAUUAGAGACCGGUUAUUAUCGACAGCACCAACACAAACAUUUUUUUCUUCCAAAUCACUAAAUUCUUUUUUAAUAUUAUUACUAUUUGUUUCCCACACUCACUGCUUAUUGUGACUAGGUUGUAGUCAGCUUUUAAUUUUUCAAACUUUAAGUUUUCUUUUUUUUCAAACUUAUUGUGAAAUUGACAAAGCUUCACAAAGUGAACUCUCCCUUUUCUAUUAUUUAUCAAAGCUUUGAUGGCAAAUCCAUUAUCAUUCUCUACUUGAGAUUUGAACAGUUUGAUGGAUCGGUUGCUUCCAAACGACAUCACAUGGACUCCUUACAAGGUCCAUCAAGAUGUUUGUCCCUUUGAGGAUAUAUCUUUGUUCUCCGGUUGGAUCAGGUGUAGGCCGAUCAAAGUAAGAUAUCUUCCAGAGAGAGUGUUACGACAAUUUGGCUACGUGCAGACUAUUUCCCGUCAUCCAGAUUCCGCCGCGAAUAUAUUGGACACGGUAAAUCAUAUUGAUCAGUAUUGGCUCAAUUACACGGAUCACGUUCUGACAUGCUUGGCAGUCGUGCUACCAUUCCGUCAGACACCGCCCCUGGAUACAUGUCGUGGUAUUUCAGGAUAUCACAUCCUUACAUCGUCCGUACCCCGGCUAGACACUCUAUUAUGCUUGGUAUAUUGGCUAGCAUCCGGAACAUACUCAAGGGUGUUAUGCACAACGAUGAAGUUCCAAACUGCUCUCGUGUUUACAACGAACUCGAGUCUGCAUACAGUUUGACAUUUGUACCGAAUCAGGGUGGACCCUGUUCUAGUAGUCAACACUAGGAAAUGUUAUUUUUAACUUUGGUUGUUUUAUUUUGUUUCUAUUUGAUGCUUUGGAAUAUUUUGGAUAAUAAUUUGUUUAA